GACGAACGCUGGCGGCGUGCUUAACACAUGCAAGUCGAACGAAGAGCGACGGAAGCUUGCUUCUAUCAAUCUUAGUGGCGAACGGGUGAGUAACGCGUAAUCAACCUGCCCUUCAGAGGGGGACAACAGUUGGAAACGACUGCUAAUACCGCAUACGAUCUAACCUCGGCAUCGAGGAUAGAUGAAAGGUGGCCUCUACAUGUAAGCUAUCACUGAAGGAGGGGAUUGCGUCUGAUUAGCUAGUUGGAGGGGUAACGGCCCACCAAGGCGAUGAUCAGUAGCCGGUCUGAGAGGAUGAACGGCCACAUUGGGACUGAGACACGGCCCAGACUCCUACGGGAGGCAGCAGUGGGGAAUCUUCCGCAAUGGACGAAAGUCUGACGGAGCAACGCCGCGUGAGUGAUGACGGCCUUCGGGUUGUAAAGCUCUGUUAAUCGGGACGAAAGGCCUUCUUGCGAAUAGUGAGAAGGAUUGACGGUACCUGAAUAGAAAGCCACGGCUAACUACGUG
rnacentral:rRNA from 1 species